UACGGGGGGGGCAAGCGUUGUUCGGAAUUACUGGGCGUAAAGGGCGCGUAGGCGGCCUUCUAAGUCGGACGUGAAAUCCCUCGGCUUAACCGAGGAACUGCGUCCGAUACUGAAAGGCUUGAAUCCGGGAGAGGGAUGUGGAAUUCCAGGUGUAGCGGUGAAAUGCGUAGAUAUCUGGAGGAACACCGGCGGCGAAGGCGGCAUCCUGGACCGGCAUUGACGCUGAGGCGCGAAAGCUAGGGGAGCAAACGGG
rnacentral:rRNA from 1 species